GAUGAAGAACGUAGCGAAAUGCGAUAAGUAAUGUGAAUUGCAGAAUUCAGUGAAUCAUCGAAUCUUUGAACGCACAUUGCGCCCGCCAGUAUUCUGGCGGGCAUGCCUGUUCGAGCGUCAUUUCAACCAUCAAGCCCCCGGCUUGUGUUGGGGACCUGCAGCUGCCGCAGGCCCUGAAAAGCAGUGGCGGGCUCGCUGUCACACCGAGCGUAGUAGCAUACAUCUCGCUCUGGGCGUGCUGCGGGUUCCGGCCGUUAAACCACCUUCAUAACCCAAGGUUGACCUCGGAUCAGGUAGGAAGACCCGCUGAACUUAAGCAUAUCAAUAAGCGGAGGA
rnacentral:misc_RNA from 1 species